CAUUAAGUCGGCACUUCACUUUCGAUUUUAACGCCUCUAAGUGACGCACUCUUGCAUCAAGUGCGUUUUAGUUCGUCCUACAUUUUCGCCAAUAUCAGAAGCAUUACUUUAUUCCAGUCUCAACACUUUCGACAGACUUACGUCAGUAGCCUUUGAGCUUACCUCAAUACCUUUCUUACAAAAGAAUACUAUUAACGAAACGCUGAUAUUUGUUCUUGCCAAUUAUCGAUUAGUCCUAAAGAUCGAUUAACUCUAAAGUUAUCGAUUCUGUCAAACAUGUCGCACAUAUUAGUCGUACAUACAUAAAUAUUAUAGGUUAGUUUUCAUAUAUCUUAUAUAAAUAAAAUUUAUAUAUCAAAGAUGUAAAUUGAUGAUAGAAAGUAUAAGUAAAAUUAAUCAAGAAUAUAAUUUAUAUAAUAUUCUGUUAAGAUCUCAUAAUAUCUUUUUGAAAUGUUUAUGAAUUUUAAUUGUUCUAUGGAUAAUGAACGAUAUAAAAGAGAUUAACGUUACAACCAUAAUUUAUAUCGCAAAAGCUAUAAUACCAAAUGUUUCGCUAUAAUACCAAUUAUCGAAAUGGAGAGAAGUUAAACGAGAAGGCGGCAGUGUUUCGUCUUGUUGCUUUCUUUUCUUUCCCAGCUUGCGCAUUGCCUGUUCAUACAACGAAAGGAUAGGCGGUGUAAAAAUGAGUAUAGAAAAGGGCGCGUGGGUGGUAGAUGGGUCAGAGACAGAAUGAGAUGGCUGAUAGAUGGAAAAAGAAUCCUAAGUGUAUGUGAGUGUGCGCGCGCGUUUGCCACAGCAUGUAUAUGAAAGAACAGCUGGAAAAAAGGUGUAUACAAUACAAACAGUACUGUCACAUCGAGCUCCGCCAGAGGAAUGAAAAACAGUCACCAAGUCUUCGUAAGACUGGCGUUUUCGGUGACAAGACCAGUUGGAAGAAUAAGAAAUGAGUCUUAUAACAGUAGCCGAAAACUACUCUAUGAUUUCCUUUGAAGACAGAUGUCGUUGCGUUCUUCAUAACGGCUUGCCAAGAUAAAAACGGAAUUGAAAGAAACACGGUACAGAAUAAAGAACUGCAAAGUUAUUUGAAGAACAUAACUCUGUUACUCUGAAAGAAAGCUUCUUGUAUUAUACAUUCGAAUUAUGUAUGUACGUUUCGCGUGCAAUAGGUAAGUUAUCUUGUCAGUCGUAACAUACGCAUAAUUGGUACUUGCAAGGAAUUCAAAGAUAUAUGUAUAAGCCACAAUAAAUCCGUCACAAAAGAAAAUAACUAGUUGGUUUUUCCGCAUGCUACAAAGACUUUAAGUUAGUCCGCUUAUUGCGAUUUAGAUUGGAUCAAAAAAGGAAAGUAUUACUUUUAAAGUUUGGUUUUCAUUCACAUCAUUAUGAUAUAAGUAGAAACAUCGUUAAAAAAACAUAAUUAAGUUAUUGGGAUAAAGCAAUCGAAGAAUGCUGUAACGUUUGUACGCCGAUAAUCCAUAUAAACAAGGCAUGACAAAGGAAUCCCUCUGCUAUCUAAUUACCAUACGAAUAUUGAGCGAACAUCGUCUGUACUGUGAAAAUACGAUAUCGCGAACAUUUCAAACACUCGAGAUAAGACCGUUCUAUCCCAUUAACCAGUUCCUUUUUUUAUCUUUGAUGAGAGACGUAGCUCGGCAACGAAUCGUUCCCCGUAGCAAGAAUGAUUAUCCGAACUGUUCGCGUGUUUUACAGGAUUUUCAGGGGUUCGUGUUCACCGGAGUGGUGCAAGUUAGAUAUAUAGAACCUUUUACGAUGCCGAUAGUAGAUGAUUCCAGCGUGGUAUAGCCUAAGAAUGGCAGUACUCUUUAGGGAAGCAACUUAAAGGCGACUCGUGCCGACAGUGCUUCCAGCAAAUACGGAGUUUUAUAUUUAAAACAUUCUAGAGACACGCUCCAUUGUUCUAUCUUCGCAUCAACGUAAUAUCGUCUUACGUUGCUCCUCUCUUUAAUACAUCGUUGCAUGCGACUUCGUUGUAUAACUCAACAAAAGAUAUACCUAUCGAUUUUCUUGACAACAACUUUCAACUGUAAUACAUAGACCGUAUUUGCUCCAAUUACCGGCGAAAUUAUGAAGGCCUUCGACAUUCGUUGGUUCGUUAUUAGUCACGCGAUAAGAAACCAAUAAUUUUGCAUGCGUACGCAAAAACGUUGCUCCGUUAUUUCUUUGGUCGCAUGAUUUAUGAGAAAAUUAAUUAGAUGAUAUUCGCGGUGAACGACAAUUCGAGCGUAGAGAAAAAAAAAAAGUAAGAGACGGCAAGCUUUCGCUUUAAGUGCUUUAAAUAAACGAUUAAUCAUCGGUGUAAUUAUAACGAAGAUGAGAGGAGGGAAGUGGGAUCGCGCGGCUUCCACGAUUUCAUUCACCAUUAUCGAUACAUAUUAUAUACCUAUAUACAUAUAUUAUAUGUAUAUAGUAUCAAACUAUCGAUGAAACGAAAUUGUACGAGGCGAGUUAUUAUUUUAAGAAACGCAUUGCUUCCUCUCUGUCUACACGACGCGACGCCAGAGGAAGUUCCGCGAAUAUAUCAGCUAAAGGUUUCCAAUUGCAUUUAUGGCUUUUCUCUCUGUCUCGUUUCGUCCCUUCCUGCCUCUCUAUCCCUCUCUCUUCCUCUUUCGCGCGCUUCUUGCGUAUACCGACAAAUAGCAUUUCGUUUCUGUGCACAAGUCGUUUCUUUGCAACCUCAUUGCACGUUGCGUCCGUGUGGGUGACCACCGGUGCUACGUAAAUAUGGUUAUACGACGUUGUACGUUGAUAAUGAACGCGCGCGUGUUCGUGCAAAAGUGUAGUGGGCUGCGGCUUGUGGUAAGGGCUCGGAAGAGGGAUCGAGAACCGAAGCACAAUGCACCAAAGGUGGGAACAAGAGAGGGAGAGAGAGGAAAAGAGAUGGAACUGGAGGGAAAGACAGUGUACAUGUACGUUGCGUUUACGGUACGCAUACACCACGCGUAACACGUUCAUGGAUGCUUGCAGUGCGAUGGUACUGAUAGUCGAAUAGAAAUAAGUAAAUGAACAUAUACGUAUAUAUACGUCGUGUCGUUUUUUGUAUGUGAUUUACUUAACGAGAAAUGGACAGACUUGCAUGCCAAAGUAUACAAAUUUAUCACUUUUGAAGUGAACGAUAAAUGUUGCACAUUUUUACAUGUUUUGUCACGAUGAUUUAUACAAUGAUAAUUUAAAGAUAUAUUUACGCUUGACUUCUUGAUUUGAACAGUAUUUAAGAUUUUACAUCGAUUGUUUUAUGAUAGUUGAUAAAAUAUUUAAAAAUAAAAAGAAAAAAUACAAAAUACAAAAUAUCAAUUUUGCAGAUUAAAUCUGAUUUGAUGUAGUACAAAGGAUUGAUGUAUGAUGAGUGGAGUAAAAAAAUUUUUAAAGACAAAUUAAGCAAAUGUUUGAACAGAUUUAAAUUGGUCAGAUUUUAAUGUACAAGUUGUCAAAAUAAAAAAAUUGUUCAAUGACUUUAAUUGAAUAAGUUCGAAUCCCGAAAUUGUGGCGAGCAAAAUCAUAUUAAAGAAAAUCGAAGUAACGAUGAAGUUUUCUUUCCUUUAAUCCGCUCUUUCAAAGCUCUUUGUCGGAGUUCCCUUCAAAAAAUGUCAGUCUACCGUUGCAAUGUGGAUUGAAUGAAAUCCUGUGGAAUGAAAUCCUUCGGUACAACGGAGGGUGCGCCCUGUGCUUCACAAACUAGUUUUAUGAUAUCCCACCGACACCUACCAUGCUAAUCCACCCACAAAGUUUUCUUCAGCUGUUUACUCGCCUCCUGGCUACACCUCUCCGUCACACCGCUAUAUAACUGCUAUCGUGGAUAUAACAUAAUUUUCCUCCUCGAACUACGCGAAUCGAUACAAUAAAUGCAGCAGAUUCCAAAGGGCGAAGUAACAGCAAUUUCAGUCGGCGUUUAAUCACGCGAUAUUUCAUUUAUCCGCUAUAUAUUACCGAGGCUAAAUGUUUUACGGUUAUUGCAUUCUUGAAAUUGAUGUGUCAAUAAACAGAAUAACGCUCGUACAAAGGUGUGCUAAAUUCAUUUCACGAUAUCGUCAUUGACGUGUUAUCAGUACGACU